rnacentral:rRNA from 1 species
CACGUAGGGUGCGAGCGUUGUCCGGAAUUAUUGGGCGUAAAGAGCUCGUAGGCGGUCUGUCACGUCGGCUGUGAAAUCCCGAGGCUCAACCUCGGGUCUGCAGUCGAUACGGGCAAACUAGAGUAUUGCAGGGGAGACUGGAAUUCCUGGUGUAGCGGUGAAAUGCGCAGAUAUCAGGAGGAACACCGGUGGCGAAGGCGGGUCUCUGGGCCGAUACUGACGCUGAGGAGCGAAAGCGUGGGGAGCGAACAGG